UACGUAGGGGGCGAGCGUUGUCCGGAGUUACUGGGCGUAAAGCGCUUGUAGGCGGUCCACCAAGUUUGGGGUGACAGUUGCCGACUUAAUCGGCAAAGUGCCUCAAAGACUGGCGGACUUGAGGGCCACAGAGGGACAUGGAACUCCAGGUGUAGUGGUGAAAUGCGCAGAUAUCAGGAGGAACACCAAUGGCGAAGGCAGCUCGCUGGGACGUGACUGACGCUGAGACGCGAAAGCGUGGGGAGCAAACAGG
rnacentral:rRNA from 1 species